CCUACGGGUGGCAGCAGUGAGGAAUAUUGGUCAAUGGGCGCGAGCCUGAACCAGCCAAGUCGCGUGAGGGAGGACGGCCCUACGGGUUGUAAACCUCUUUUGCCGGGGAGCAACGGGCGCCACGUGUGGCGUCACUGAGAGUACCCGGAGAAAAAGCAUCGGCUAACUCCGUGCCAGCAGCCGCGGUAAUACGGAGGAUGCGAGCGUUAUCCGGAUUUAUUGGGUUUAAAGGGUGCGCAGGCGGAGGUGCAAGUCAGCGGUCAAAUUGCGGGGCUCAACCCCGUACUGCCGUUGAAACUGCAUCCCUUGAGUGCGCGAGAAGUAUGCGGAAUGCGUGGUGUAGCGGUGAAAUGCAUAGAUAUCACGCAGAACUCCGAUUGCGAAGGCAGUUCACUGGACUGCAACUGACACUGAGGCUCGAAAGUGUGGGUAUCAAACAGGAUUAGAUACCCGUGUAGUC
rnacentral:rRNA from 1 species